UUCUAAGGAUGUAUCUAGCUAGAUCAGAGCUUGCUCUGUCUCGUGAUACACUUAGCAUAAGAUCAGUAAUCAAAACUGAUCACAUCCGGACCAGGCCGUCCUCAUAUCUCUUCAGAACUGUCAUGAUCUUGCCCUGGAGGCAGGAUCUAGCAAGGGGCCUUAGCUCAGCUGGGAGAGCGCCUGAUUUGCAUUCAGGAGGUCAGGAGUUCGAUCCUCCUAGGCUCCACCACUCAUGCGAACGGCCCACAUAGAAUGGGUCGGUAGCUCAGGUGGUUAGAGCGCACGCCUGAUAAGCGUGAGGUCGGAGGUUCAAGUCCUCCUCGACCCACCAUUCUUCAGAAUAUGAUUUGAUCAUCAAGCACUUGCUUUGAGUGUUUGAUCGUCCAAUCGGACAUUCAUUGGUCUUCAUCAGAAGAGCAAUGGAAUUGACAUCGUUUAGAGAGAUACAAUCAACAACACUGUUGGUCACCCGUGUAAGGGAUCGACCUCAGUUUGGUGCUGAGGGCCACUUCGGUGGUCUGAUGCGAGCCUUUGCAUCCGCCCUUUUCCUCGGGCGCGCGAGGGUCUGCCGGAUUGAAACCACAGUGUUGUCCAAGUCAAGUACACUAACCCGGUUCAUAUUCCGCAAGGUUUAUGAACCAAUGUUCACUUCUUAUGAAGUGAGCGGGAAAGUAUGCUUUUGGUUCAGAAUAAGGCCGCAGUUUCUUACCAGCUUCUGUGGCGUGACAGUUCACUGUCUUUUUCUGG
rnacentral:misc_RNA from 1 species